rnacentral:lncRNA from 9 species
GAUGGCUCUUUAGGAAUAAAUGGAGCGGGGGUGUCACCGCUUUGGCUAAGGAUCAUCUAGUCUUUGGUGAUUAGAGUCAAUUGCAUUUUCUAGGUCAGUCCCAAAUUUGAGGCUAUUGCUUUUGUGGAGAGAAAAGAAACCUAAAGUGUGAAAAAUUAAUAAUUACCAGAUUGAAUAAAUAAAAUGUGGAGGAAAAAGCAAUUUACACAAUAUCCUCAUUUUAAAGAAAUUUGUCUUCUCUACCUUGUUUUUCUCAGACUGGACUCAGCGAGAUGACUGGAAAAUUCUCUCAUGGUCACGUUCUCCGUAUAGAGACCAGAAACACUGAACUCACCCAAGCCACCACGUUCAGGACGUCAAGGCAGCAUCUCUGUCCAGAACCAUCAAGUCCAAUGGUGGAUGCUCUCAAGCGGGUGCAGACAUUGCCCGUGGCUUCUCCUGUGUGUGAAGAGCUAGCGAGGAAGAACUGAUGCACCUGAACCGAUUAAGCAUUUGGCCAUCACAGGAGCUGCACUGGUGGUCCUGUGUGCAAAAUGGAUCCUCUAAGCUGAUUUCGACUUCUGUGAUUAAGGUUGUCACGUUGCCUCCGUGUUGGGAAAGAGACAAAGGUUUUCUGGAAGGAUUCCUUCAUUGAUAACGAUGUAAGCUGUUUUCAUGGGAAGGGAAGAACAAGUUGGUGCUAGUGAAUGAACUGAAGUGGUGUUAUCCUUCUGCCCUGGCUCUGAACUCUGUGUCAGGAGCCAAGAGACCAAUAGUGGACCUGCCUGAAGGGGUUUAGCGCCUUCCAUGAUGACAAGCUCUUUGGCGGCAUCUACACAGCAUAAGCGGGAGACCUGGUGUGCAGCCGCCGGACCCGAAGGCAGGCUCCUUCCUGGAUGAGCAGGCGAGGAUGGCAGCGUUGUCUCUGGAUCCAGAAGGCCAGUGGUGGAAGCCGAAGGCCAGGCCAGGCUCCAUGGGGCCGAGACCCCUCCUCUGGCGGUGGUGGCAGGAGAGAUCCCAAGGAGUGGAGCCAUUCCCUGGGGAAGCCCCUGAAAGUGCAACAGUGGGUGUGACAGAGGAGCAGCAAUGUAAGUAAGCAUCAGGAACGUGGCCUUGGUCGCAGAGGUUGGCUGCAGUGUGGACACGAGGAGGAUGGAUGCAGAAGACAUAGCUUAGGUUUUGUGAAUAGCGAAGAGGAGUUUACUUCAAGGAGCACCUUCUAGAAUUGAUCCACAAAGAAGACAGACACAGGGGAGGAUAGAGGAAAGGUAUCGGGUCGAUGAUGACUGCUGGUGCGUGUAUGAGUCUUGUAUGAUGAAUACACAUCAGGAACUCUGAGAUCCAAUGCUGAUGCCGCUGAGUCCAAAGUCCUCCGGAAACUGAGCCAGGAGAACAUGGCUGCUCAGGCGGGACGGAGGGCCCCACUCCAUGGGGAAGGAGGGGUGAGCAGUUCAGGAGGUGGCCGGGUCUUGAGCUCAUCCACACACGUCUGGCUUGGCUUCCUCUCAAGGAGGCCAUGGUGGGCCUGAGAGGCAUGGAGCCCGGAGUGGGUGUCUGGUUGGAGCCCCAUGAGGCAGUGGUGGGGACUGGUAGAGGAUGAGGCCAGGCCAGUGAGGAACGCCCUGUCUGGACCCCUGAGGUCGCAGAGCCUCCAGAGUCCACUGUGGGCUGGGCUGGGCUCCUUUGGGAGUGGGCUGGGAGUGGACCCAGUCCCGAUCUCGUUUGCUCAGGGGCUGGAGACCUUCAGGGGCCAGGGACCUCCGUCGUCAAUGUUUGGGUCCCGGCCGGGAUGGACUUGGGUGAUGGAGAAGCCUGAUCCAGUGACUCUUCAGUGGGAAGACCGGGGCGCAGGGAAGAAGGUGUCACGAGACCGGCCUGGUGGAUGCAGGUUAUCUGAUGGAUGGCUCAAGGGGGCCCGGACUCUGUCCUGGCAGGGAUCUGUGUCCUUGUGAAGAAACGGUGGUCCCGUUUAAGGGACUGAGUGCAGCCCAGCCCCAGCCUGACCUUCAACCCCCAAGCCCUGAGGUUCUGCCUCCUUGGGCUCGUAGCAGAAUCACCUGGACCCCGGGGAAGGAGCAGAACCGGCUGACGCUUGAGUCCGCUGAGUGCAGAAAGGGCGAGUCAGUGGCGGUCCUCCUCGCUUUCCCUGUCUCUCUGUCACUGUCCCUGACUCUCUGUCUCGGUGGCUCUGCCUCGGUCUGUCCCUCUUGUCUCUCGCCUGGCUCUCUCUGUCGCCGUACGGGUCUCUUUCCUUUCUGGCAGCUUCGCGUCUGUGUGGUGGGGUGCACACCAGACCCCGGCGAGCCGAUUGGGCCCGUUUCCCUGGUGAGACCCCUAGACGAUUCCUUCAGUGGGGGAGAUGGCCAAGGAAGCAGUGUGGGCAGCCGCCAGGCCCGAAGGCCGGCUCCUUCCUGGAUGAGCAGGCGAGGAUGGCAGCGUUGUCUUUGGAGCCAGGGGACCAGUGGUGGAAGCCGAAGGCCGGGCCAGGCUGCGUGGGGCCGAGACCCCUCCUCUGGCGGUGGUGGCAGGAGAGAUCCCAAGAGUGUGUACCCCUCAGAGCAAUUGCACUGGAGAUGCUUUAGCAUCUUCCGUACGGACCCGAGCUCUGGGAUUGCCUCUGAACAUACGUGUUAGGACAUGGGAGAGUCACAGGACAUGCUCCCGCUCUUUCGGCUUCUGCUGAGCUCAAGAUUGUCAGGCCGCCUCCGCGCCAGCAAAGAAGCGAAGGUGACCGUGGGGCAGGUUGUUGUUGGGCUCGGGUGAUCUGUUUGCGGGUACUCAGGGUACUAUUAGAAAGCGUGGAAUGAAUCUGAAAGGUACUCGUCAUUCCACGCGAGAGGGGCUGCGCCUCACUGUCUGCUGAGGGAUGAUGGGCAGGACUGAGGUGGGAGAGUGGGAGAGAGAGCCCCUCGGUGGGAAAGGACGCUACAGACUGAGCUUAGGGAUGUUGGCGGACCUUGUUCUGGGGGGACGUCGCGAACCCUGUAUUGUAUUGACGCUUGUCAAUGAAGUAAUGAUAGCAUCGAUACCAGUACGGAAAUGAACGAGGUGCAGAGACUCGGUCAUGGACCAGUGAUGAGGGUCGUGACGGGAGGAGUCCUGAACGAUGACAACAUCUGAAACUCUGAGGUCCAACCCAGCGCCCGAGUCGCCUCUUGCCUCGGGUGUCACUGUGCCUGUAGAGCGAUGUCAGGAAUACGGAGACAUCACCUCCUUGUGUUAUUUCACGGACUUAGAUUUGCUGCUCUGGCUAGAGCUGUGUUAGAGCCAUCAAGCCGGCAUAAAGUAACAUGUGAGGAAACACAGGGUGAUGCAGUGUCCAAGUAGGAACAUAUCUCGUGGGGGAAAGAGACUGUCCGUAAACCCUGAAAGCAGGGAUGCUCAUUAAGUAAAUGGGGCAGGGCCACCUCUCUGACCGAGGUUAGAUCGAAAAGCAGAAGUAAGGGUCGCUUUA